GAGCAUGUAUGAAGAUCCCACAGCAUGGUACAGAUGCAUGAUAGAGAGCAUGUAUGAAGAUCCUGCAGCUCGCGCCAUAAUGGUACAGAAGUGUGAUAGGGAGCAUGUAUGAAGAUCCUGCAGCACGCGUCAUACUCGAUGGUACCAAUGCAUGAUUGAGAGCAUGUAUGAAGACCCCACAGCAUGCGUCAUAAUGGUACAGAUGUGUGAUAGGGAGCAUGUAUGAAGAUCCUGCAGCACGCAUCAUACUCGAUGGUACCGAUGCAUGAUUGAGAGCAUGUAUGAAGAUCCCACAGCAUGGUACAGAUGCGUGAAAGAGAGCAUGUAUGAAGAUCCUGCAGCACGUGUCUUACUCGAUGGUACAGAUGCGUGAUUGACAGCACGUAUGAAGAUCUGGCCGCAUGUGUCACACUCAAUGGUACAGAUGCAUGACAGAGAGCACGUAUGAAGAUCUCACAGCACACAUCAUAAUGGUGCAGAUACAUGAUAGAGAGGAUGUAUGACGAUCCAGCCACAUGCGUCACACUCGAUGGCACAGAUGCGUGAUGGACAGCAUAUAUGAAGAUCCCAGAGCAUGUUUCAUACUCGGUGGUACAGAUGUGUGAUGGACAGCAUAUAUGAAGAUCCCAUAGCAUAUGUCAUACUCGAUGGGGGAGACCGAGUAUUGGGGGAGACCCCCAAGGUCUGGAGUGAGACAUGGGUGGCACUGUGGAUAUGAAAUGUCCAGAACAGGCCAAUCCCUAGAGACAGAAAGCAGAUUAGCAGUUGCAGCCUGGGGGCUGAUGAAGGAAAUGGGAAGUGACUGUUGCUGCGUGGGGGC
rnacentral:lncRNA from 1 species